UUUGAUCUUUAAGUGGUUAAGGAAUUAAACUUUUAUGUCUGUAAAGUUUUUCACAACAUUAGCAACAAGUAAGUAUUUUUACUGUCUCCUGUUUUACCUAUGAAUGCAGCUAGAAUCUAUUUGAUUUAUAUCCCUGUAUGUGCCUUCUGUACUGAUACUGGCUUUAAUUUUAGUAUCAACUAGAUUGGCCUCAUCUAAAGAAAAAACAACAUAGAGCAGUUGCAAAUUCCCCAUAAAAUCAGCUUCAGUUAAUGAAAAAUCUUCCAUGGAUGAUUCCAUACUAAAUGUCAUGCUUAUGCAGUAAAUUUUCAUCUUACAAAGAUGAAAUAAUGUUUUCUUUUUGCUCUAAGUCUUAAUGAAGUGCUUGAAAGUUGACAUUGGGCAUAGUUGGUAUUUGUCUGGGUGACAACUUCAGUUUCCCUUUGCUUUAUGGACAGAUAGAGCACACCACAGGCAUGCCUGGACAUUCUGAACAGCUCAUCAUUGAAGAGGCAGCUAAGUAAACUGUAAGCUCAAAGUGAAAACCAUUUCAGUGCUCUGGGAUGAACACCUCUUCUCCUUUUUUUCACCCUCCUGAUGUCCCUAGUUUAGGUGGGUUUAAAUAAAUGGAGAAACACAGUGUGUGCAGUGCAUACUUUUGGGUGUACACUAAUGGUAUGUAUACAUUGAAAUGCUGUUUAAUAGAAAGACAAGCAGCAUCUGAAAAGCACAUAAGCCUAAUUGAUUCCAGGCACAACUGGCCUGGAUUUUGUUUCCUCUUAUUCCAACUUUCUGACCUUGUAAAAAUUAUCUUGAUUGUGUUAUACUAAAACAAGGCCAUGAUCUUGCAAAAACUGCCAUGUGUGCUAGUGCUGAGCAGUACCCAGUGAAGCACAGUGCGUGGAACAAAUGUCAACAGCGUUAGGCCCCAAGUUCGUUUGUUUGUUUUCCUUUGCUUAUAUCUAAUCAUGGUGAAGCAAUAGUCUCACUUCUGCUAAAAGCUGAAUCUGAGGUUUCAUUGUUAAAGGAGGUGAAAAACGUGUAGUAAAACUUGCGAUUUGAAGUGAAUCAUAAUAGGUUUUAAGUUCUUAGAGCAGUUUAAGCUGCUGGGAUUUUAUGGCAUUUAGGCAAGGGGGAAAAACAGUGAUGGUUUAAAAAUAUACAUUGCCUUUAAUUUUUUCAGUACUUUAGUGUGUGUGUGUCUGUGUGUGUAGUGGUAUCUUUGUUUUUCAGAAGAUUGCUUCUAGGGAUUGGUAGGAAAGCUGAAGGACUUACUGGCUUUGAUGAUAACCCUCACGAUACCGUUGUGCUUUUGUAUAAACAUGUAAAAAAAAAACAGGCCUAGGACAGCCUUAAGUGUUGGAUAUGAUGCUGGUAUGGGCACUGGAGAACUUGAUCAAGAAUAAACUAUGCAUUUGUGCCUUUGUCAGCGAAGCUCCCAUGGGGCAAUCCUCGUAAGCACUGGUAGCAAGGAGGCUUAUAAAAAGCAGCUCCAGGUGGAAAUGGGUCUUUUCCUGCUCCUCGCUCUAUCCUGCUGCAAUUCCCAUUUAUCCAGGCCCAGAGAACUGCCUGCCUUUCAGACUGAGCUGCACAUAUAAGAGAGUUGCGGUCACUUGAACCAGGUAUUAGACUAUCUACCUUUACUUAUGUUGAUUCAUUGAUGUUCUGGGGAGUUUCCUUGCUUACGGUGUAGGAUGUCAACUUAACAGUGGUCAUUCAACAGCAAAUGUAACUUGAAAAAAUAAAGCCUGCCUCUAAAGAAAAUGAGCAGCUUUGAUGCAUCUUUAAACUUGGUUUCAAAGAAGUUGGUGUUAAUACAACUGCCAUCAUGUUGAGGCUUUUUAGCUUCCCUGUCAGCAUUUCAUAUUUCCUUACAGAAUGCAGAGUGAAUGUGGUGUGUGGUGUAUUAUUUAUUACAUAAUAAACCUGACAGCAUGUGCGGUGUUCUGUCUCAAAAGCCAUGUUGGAAACCUACUGCACCACAGAUUAAACAGUGAAUAUUAGUGCUAA